rnacentral:rRNA from 1 species
CCUACGGGAGGCAGCAGUGAGGAAUAUUGGACAAUGGGCGAGACCCUGAACCAGCCAAGCCGCGUGAAGGAUGAAGGACCUAUGGUUUGUAAACUUCUUCUAUAUGGGCAUAAAGUGAGGAACGUGUUCCUUUUUGUAUGUACCAUAUGAUUAAGCCUCGGCCACGUCCGUGCCAGCAGCCGCGGUAAUACGGAGGAUGUGAGCGUUAUCCGGAUUUAUUGGGUGUAAAGGGUGCGUAGGUGGUUACUUAAGUCAGAGGUGAAAGAUUGGGGCUCAACUAGAAAAUUGCCGUUGAAACUGGAUGUCUAGAGUGUAUGUGAGGUGGACGGAAUGCGUGGUGUAGCGGUGAAAUGCGUAGAGAUUACGCAGAACUCCGGUUGCGAAGGCAGCUUUCUGGACUGUAACUGACGCUGAGGCACGAAAGCGUGGGGAGCAAACAGGAUUAGAUACCCGAGUAGUC